rnacentral:rRNA from 1 species
UACGGAGGGUGCAAGCGUUAUCCGGAAUCAUUGGGUUUAAAGGGUCCGCAGGCGGGUUUAUAAGUCAGUGGUGAAAGCCUACAGCUCAACUGUAGAACUGCCAUUGAAACUGUAGAUCUUGAAUUCGGUCGAAGUGGGCGGAAUAUGACAUGUAGCGGUGAAAUGCUUAGAUAUGUCAUAGAACACCGAUAGCGAAGGCAGCUCACUAGGCCUGGAUUGACGCUCAGGGACGAAAGCGUGGGGAGCAAACAGG